CCCAGCCCCGCCUCUCUCGGCGGACCGCGCCCCCUUCCGGGAGCCCCGCCCCGUUCGCCGCGCCUCCUCCUCCGCACAGCUCCGGUUGCGGGGAGGCCCGGGUGGGUACCCGGCGCUCCGGCUCCCAGUCUCCUGGGCUUCUCCAGUCCUUCAGCGCCGUUCUCCGGUCACAGGGAAUGAAAGCGAGGAAGAAGGAAACGGUGUCGAGAAUUGCGAAGAGAGAAAGCAUAGAAAACCCACAUUAGAGGCACUCCCAGAGCAGAAACCCUUCGGAGCAUCCCGACUUCCUCGGCCCGCGUGCAAUCCAGGCAAAAUUGAGGUUGUCUCUGAGCCGCCCUCCCUAAGCAGGUCGGAAAGCCCCCGAAUCAUCCCAGGUCCCGCCGCGCUGCACUCGCAACCUGGGGUGGAGGUCCCUCUAGUGGUUGGCACCAAACAAAAGUUCUGUCUUAUGAAGAGCCGAGGUCAGGAAGCAUUUCCCUGUGCCCAGCGCCAAGGUCUGGGACCUUAGGUCCAAGAAAAGCGUUGGCAAUGUCUGACCACAGGAAUGGGUUCUCGAACUGGGGAGGACUGAAGCUGGAGAUCUGGUCCAGCCCCUACCUCCAGCGUGUGGCCUGAACCCGUUUUGGUUGUACUGCUAUGUUGUGGCCCUGCCCAGGCCUCCAAGGACUGGCUGCUGUUAAGCUGUUUAAAAUCCCUGUAGGCCUCAGAUGGCAGCGACACCAGGGACUCGGCAUAGUCCCCAGCUCUGGCAGGAGUCACCACAGCCCUAGCCUUUAGUUCUCUACAGGCUGGAGUGUCGACAAACUCCACAGGACACAACUUUUUCAAACCAAAUUUACCCUCGCGGUCUGAAAUGACCAGUAGGCCCAGGAGAAUUUUACAUGUGAACAGAACCUAACCCACCCUGGCAAAUAUGAGACGUGUGGUCACUGCGGGAACCUGGCCAGCAGCAGACCAAAGCACAGCCAGCAGGGGAAGGCUGGGGCCCGCAAGAGUUGUGUUACAACAGGACACCCUUCAGUUCUCUUUCACUUCCUUAAAAUAGCAGCAGAGCGACUUUUGUAGACGCAGGCUGCCACAGUUCACACAAGGUCAUGGCUGUUUCCGAAUCCCACCCUUUAUUGCCCUAGCGGAGCCACUCCCCUUACCUCCGCCCCCAGAAACUGCUAGCCUGUUCUUAAAUUGAUACAGUUACCUUUUUAAAUGUUCUAAGUCACCGGCUCUGGAGCUUCUUUGCACUUUGGAACCAACUUGCGGGAAGGAACUUUAAAAAUACUGAUAUCUCGAUCCAUCCCCAGAGGUUCUGAUUUAAUGGUCUUGGGGAUAUGGCCACGGCAUGAGGACUGUUAAAACUCCGCAGGUGAUUCUUAUGUGCAACAAAGUUUAAGAACCACUGAUGUAGGCCAUGUCGAUGUCAGUCUUCACUUAAAUCCAACAAGACCCCAGAGCUAAAACGUUCACCUGAAAGAAACCCCAUUCCCAGGCCUGCAUACUGACCUGCGCUGGCUCACAAGAAGCAAAGUGGUCCCUUAACAGGGGCUUCCUGGAGAAAAUGUCUUGACCUAAAAGAGUGAUUCGAGCUGCAGGGAUUUAAGAGAGACAGGGCCUUGCUCUGUCACCCAGGCUGAAAUGCAGUGUUGCAAUCUUGGCUCGCUGUAGCCUCAAGCUCUUGGACUCAGGCGAUUCUCCUAUCUCAGCUUCCUAAGUAGCUGGGACUACAGGGCUCAGUGUGGUCAAAAGAAGACUAUAGAAUCAAGGAUGAAGAGAAGGAACACAGAAUAAAAGGACGUCUCAGCAGGAAGCUCUGUGACUACUAUGUGACCGAGCUGAAGAAGCCCCCGUCUUCCAGCGCAUGUUAUUCCCAUGACAGAUGCUAAAAGUUCAAGGGGAGAGCUACAAGAAGUGCGUUUUCCUGUGGCUACUUUCAUGUCUGGAUGCAAUGCCUAGACCUGCAUCCAUCUUGCGACCAACCUGAAGAUGAACAGAAAGGAAGGAAGGAUGGCCCAAUAGCCUGGGAAGAACUGGUGUUCCUGAUACCAUCAUUAACCACAGAAUCUACAAUCCCGGAACCCCCCAUCCUUAACCAUGGAAUCUACAAUCCUAUCUCUAGACCCUUUGUCCAGAUGCUACAGUUUCUUUGUUCAAUCUAGUUUGUGUCAGGAUUUCUGUUCAUUACAUCAAAAGUAUUCUAAUACUUGUAGCAAAGCAACUGGAGAAGUUUUCACUUUGUCUUUAACCAAAGAAGACUUCCAGGAAACAUCUCCUCAGUGGGUUUCUCCCUCACCACUGGAUUUUUAUCUCUGUACUAGUGCUUUGAUUUGUUUUAGGAGUCUCACCUCUCCACCUGUCAUAUUUCCCUGGCAGGCUCAUUUCUGCUAAUGCCCACAAUAUGUGUAUCAAUGAGCUUUCAACGUUAGGUACACAGCUCUUCAGGCAUGUAUAGCACAUUAAUCUGUCUGCUUCUAAGUGGUCUGUUGACAUGUUUGGGUGCCAGUUAUAUCUACAAGGCUGUGAUCAUUGUCCUGGGUUAUUCUGUUUGUUCUCUCUGCAGGAUGCAUUAGGACACCCAAGGCCAUGGCCAUCACUUACAUCUAGGAUUCAAUCUUAUCUCCUGUGAAUCACUGGAAACCUCCUGUCCUGGAACCCUUUUUUUCCACAUCCCACUGGAUGUCAUUCAUAGCAACUGGUCUUGUGGGUUGUCUAUUUUAUUGUGUUGUCUUACUCUUCCUCCUGGUAUCAGUUUUUAAAUCCUCUUGAUGAGAUCAGCUGAUCAGUCGCUAAGCAACAUAGUCCCCCAUGUCUUUGUAAGAUUCUCUGCACUCAUGGCUAGAAUGAUUUAUUCUGGUAUCUUAAGCUGUGUUUCAGAACCUCAUUCUAAAUAUCAACCUAUUCUUGUAAGUCCACUACUGAUCAUCUUUAGAUAUUCUUCAGUCUUCCAGAGUUCCAAAGGGCAGUAGGAAGAAGCAAUGAAAAUACCACCUGUAUUCUCACAUCUUUCAUUGUUCCACUCAAAAAAUACCACCAUGUUCACUUCUGGUGGAACGUUUAUGUCCAUGAGAAGCAGUGGCUUUGAAGAGUUUUGGCAGACUAUGGCGCCUUACUCAACAUUGGGAAGGUAUCUUGCCAUCAGACCUUUUGGGUCUCCAUGAAACUUCUUAUACCCCCUCUGGGAAAAGUCACUAACUGUGAUCUUACUGAGCUUCUAAACACAGCAUUUUUUUUACACUUAAGUGAGCGGGGGUCCUCCUCAUUUGUGCUUCUCUUCUUGUAAGGGUGACUUCCUCCCAGUAGGAUGAAUCUCAUGCCUAUUUGUGUUAUUUUGCUAAUUCCAGCUUCUUUUCUACUCAGGGGGGUUCCAACUCUUUUAAGGUCUCAUCUUCAGCACUUCUAAACUGUGGGAAACUAUGUGAAAACAAAUGGAGUGGCCAAACACACCAUUCAUCACUGUGCUUCUGGACAGCUGCAAGUCCAUACGUGUUCUGAUAAUUCAAUACAAGAAAGAAGAUUUGCUUGGGAAGGUCUGAAUGGCCCUAGCUUUGUUUGUUAACCAUAACCUCUACCAGCUGGAAACACAAUGCCCCACUAAUACUAACAGUGCCUGCUUGUCCAAACAGCAUUCUGGCCACUUACAGCAAUUGACACAAAUUCUAACAGGUCUGUUAAUGUUUUUCAGAUCCUAAACUUGUAGUAGAUUUUUAUGUUCUCUGCAAUCAGUUUUGCUUCAGCGGCCCUGCAGGUGUUUAUGCGUGCUGGCAUGCUAAAUCUCACCAUUCAAAAUAGUUUAUUUUUUACAACAAAAUCUGAAGAAUAAUUUCUUCAUUUUGUCAAAAAAUACCCCAUUCCUAUUAUUUUUCUCUUCUUUAUCUUCACAGGUAGAUGGGGCAAAGCAUUACCUUGUGUAAAACUGCUGCUAAAAUAUAUUCCUAGUGAGAAAGGUCAACUUGUGGGCUAAAGUCCUUGUCACCUCCUGAUCAGUUUUCACUUAGGGCACAGCAGUCUGCCAUUCACCAUUGGGAUCUCUGUGUGUUUCUUCUCUCUUAUGAAAGGACAUAUUGAGCGCUCUAGGACUUGGCUGCCUACAUCAAGUAGAGGGGGACCCUCAUGAUUCACUAAGGGGCCUCAGUUCUGAAUAUUUCUCAUUAUUCAAAAAUGCAAAGCCAUUGUCAUUACGUGGCAGUUUAUUGGAACCAAGGGAGGAAUUGGUCCCUUUUCAUGUUCUUCUCCUAAAUAGAGAAAAGGUAAUUAAAACUUGGAGCUUAAUAAGGGCCAUCUCUAUUUGAACAGCCUAAUACAAAUCCAUUCUCAAUACCUUUUUACACCUUGUCUGAACUGACUUCUACUGUGUACUCCACUGCAUGGGAAUUCUGGAACUUUAGAACGAAGGGAACUCAAUUCAUUCUAUAUAUAUCUCAUUCAUUCAUUUUUUUUUCAUUUGUUCACCAAAUGCUAACUCAAUACCUACGUAACAGAGAUAAUGUUCUUAUUGUCUGUAAAUCAGAAAAUGCAUGCAUUGAAUAAACGCCAUAUAUUCUUGGAAGCUGAGGGCUGAUAACUCAAGGUAAAUGAUCAGCUAGUCUCCUAUGAAAUAAGUAUCUUAUUUCAUGUUACAUGUAGAAAUGACCAUGCAACUUUAUCUUAAAGCCAGGCCUUAUUGAGAAAAAGGGGAUCCAAAUUCCAAAUGUUUCCUUACAUGCUGAGAGGAAACCUUGGAGGUCUGAGCGUGAGUCAUAGGUAGAGGGAAAUCAUGCUAAGAUAUAUAUUGUUUCCACCAGACAGGUAGAGGAAGCAGAGACCCUUUGGCAGAAGAGAUACAGAGAAGAGAGGAGGAGAGGUUCUGGCUUUACCGUUCAGGCUUGAAACCCCAAGUUUAGAUGGAUUGAGGGGGAAGCUUAAGGCAAACAUGACCCCUGGGCCAACACAGGCUAGAGGAACAAUGUAGAAAUGACCAUGUAACUUUAUAGGCAUGAAGAAGAUGCCUGUGAUGGCACUGAGUCUCCUGUGGCUCCCUUGUGUGCCCAAAUGCCUGAAGGAUGUGAGAGUAUUGGUUGUUAGAAUUUCAGGGAAUUCCACCAAGUGGGGAAUGACUCUGUAUUAAGGGCUGCAAAGAAAAGCUCCCAGGCCAAGCAUUGAGUGGGAGGUGCUACCUGCCCUCAGGGAUCCACAGGGACUUCAACAGCUGAUGUGGGGUCUCAUCAGCCUCAAGGUGGCCAAGUUUCUAUGCUGAGACUAUAGCCCACAGUUACACCAGCCAUGAUCCUCAGCAGCAGAGGUAGUGAUGAUGAAGUCUGAUGCCCAAAGACAAGCAGAACAAUAUGCACAGUUCCAGCCAAUGCCACGAGGUAGCCUUUGUACUUCCCUAUACCUAGCUGGGAGGGAGGAAGGAAGGAGAGAGGAGACUCCUAGGAAGAGGAGAAAAUAAUUAUCCCAAAGAGACUGACAUAACCUGGAAAAGACCGAGAACUACUAAUUAGCAAGAUAAAGUUCAUUUACCUCUUCCUGUUUCUUACCAAGAUGGUAUGUAUCCUUUCAGAUAAUAAAUAAAUUUAUGUUUUCUUGCCCUAUUUUAAUGUGAUUUAAAUGUUUCUUGUUUUUUCUGUUUUCAUUCAUAACAAAAAUUUUGUUCUCAGAGACACUGAGACAUGAGACACGAUGCUGGACUAUAUUGGGGGGGAGCACCUCAUCAUAUGGGCAAGAUAUUGCAGCAGCAUGUAGCCCUCCACGUCCUGACUGCUCACUUCUCUUUCGCCAUCCCCUAACACACGUAUUAGGCUUUUGCUAUGUUCAUUUAUCUAGCCCAUAAGCCACUCCUUCAGAGGGCAAUGCAUGGAAUUGGCAGCCUUGGUUCCCCACCAACUGACAGGGGUCUGGAAUUCAGGUGUUUCCAAAGACCUGCAGUCUUGGGGGCCUUAAUGCUUGCUGAGUAGCAGCACUUUCUAGGACUUUCCCUAUUGUACGUUUCAGUCCAUGCUUUUCUUUUUGUCUUGUCUCAGUGUUCUUCCCUGCUAGUCUGGUUCUCAACAAGACCCAAGCCCUGCAACACACCCAAAUCCCCUUGAUGGGAACCUGAUUUCCUACGUGGCUUUUCCCAGUCACCCCAUGCUCUCCCCACUCCCAUCUUUCCUGGUGAAUUGCUCCUUUCCUAAAUCUGUUGUGAAUAACAAUUUGGCCACAGUGCUAAAGCCUCUCACUCCUCACUUUAAAUUCCUUUGGGAAACAGUCAUUCAUGUUCAUUUUAGACAAUUUCCCUGUCCUGUGCGGACUCUUCUCAAGAAGUCUACUCCCAAAACUCCUGCUGAGGUAGGUCCAGGUCA
rnacentral:lncRNA from 10 species